CUCAAAGGAAUUGACGGGGGCCCGCACAAGCGGAGGAACAUGUGGUUUAAUUCGAUGAUACGCGAGGAACCUUACCUGGGCUUAAAUGGGGAGUGACAGCUGCCGAAAGGUGGCCUUCUUCGGACACUCUUCAAGGUGCUGCAUGGUUGUCGUCAGCUCGUGCCGUGAGGUGUCGGGUUAAGUCCCAUAACGAGCGCAACCCUUAUCGUUAGUUGCCAGCGGAUCAAGCCGGAGACUCUAGCGAGACUGCCACCGUACGGUGAGAGGAAGGUGGGCAUGACGUCAAAUCAGCACGGCCCUUAUGUCCAGGGCUACACACGUGUUACAAUGGCCGGCACAAAGGGCAGCUACCUGGUGACAGGAUGCUAAUCUCGAAAGCCGUCUCAGUUUCGGAUUGAAGUCUGCAACCCGACUUCUUGAAGCUGGAUUCGCUAGUAAUCGCGCAUCAGCCAUGCGGCGGUGAAUACGUUCCCGGCCCUUGUACACACCGCCCGUCAAACAAUGGAA
rnacentral:rRNA from 1 species